rnacentral:rRNA from 1 species
UACGAAGGGAGCUAGCGUUGUUCGGAAUCACUGGGCGUAAAGCGCACGUAGGCGGAUCGAUCAGUCAGGGGUGAAAUCCCAGGGCUCAACCCUGGAACUGCCUUUGAUACUGUCGAUCUGGAGUAUGGAAGAGGUGAGUGGAAUUCCGAGUGUAGAGGUGAAAUUCGUAGAUAUUCGGAGGAACACCAGUGGCGAAGGCGGCUCACUGGUCCAUUACUGACGCUGAGGAGCGAAAGCGUGGGGAGCGAACAGG